rnacentral:rRNA from 1 species
CAAAUGAAUCAAAACUUUCAACAACGGAUCUCUUGGUUCUGGCAUCGAUGAAGAACGCAGCGAAAUGCGAUAAGUAAUGUGAAUUGCAGAAUUCAGUGAAUCAUCGAAUCUUUGAACGCACAUUGCGCCCGCCAGCACUCUGGCGGGCAUGCCUGUCCGAGCGUCA